UGUUUGCGAUUUCGGCUGGCACCGCUUGCAAAUAAAACCCCUCAUUCGCUCAAGCAGAUCAAUUGAGAUCGCGGAGGGCUUUUUUUUUCUUCAGUUUAUUACGCUCCAGUCAUACUUUGAAUGUGUGAAGUGUCAGUCAAAAAGAAGACGUUACGUGAGGCGAAUUGCUUCCAAUGGAGGUGGCGGACAUGACGAUGAACGUACUCAGUAAAUGGGAACCUCUUGGAAAGGGAAAUUAUAAAGAAAAAAAAGAUUGAAGAAGUCGCUUAACUUAAAAAAAAAAAAAAG